rnacentral:rRNA from 1 species
AAAACAUAGCCCUAGAUAUUAUCUAAGGUGUGACCUGCCCAAUGAUUUUUAAGCUAAAAAUGAGAAAAACAUUUUAAUAAAAUUUAAAGGACGCAGUAACCUUGACUGUGAUAAUGUAGCAUAAUCACUCGCCAUUUAAUUGAUGGAUAGUAUGAAUGGUUAAACGAAUAUCUCACUGUCUUAAAGAGAAAAACCAAAAAACUAAAAUAAUAGUUAAGAUGCUAUUUAAAAUUAUAAGACGAAAAGACCCUAUAGAGCUUAACUAUUUUUUCUUUUUCACUAGAAAAGAAUUUCUUUUAUAAAUAAAGAAAAAGGUAGUUUAGUUGGGGCGACUAUCUUCUAGAAAUAACGAAGAUAAGCAAAGUUAAUAAAAAAACUUAUUGUAUAAAUUAUAUUUUUAACAAUUACUAUUGUAGGCUAUAGUGACCCGUUAAUAUCAUAUAAAAAGAAUUAACGAUCAAUAAAUAAAAGCUACCUUAGGGAUAACAGGAUUAUUUCAUUUUAGAGAUCUAAUCGAAAAUGAAGUUUGUCACCUCUAUGUUGAAUUAAGAUAUCCUAAUAAUGCAGAAGUUAUUGAAGGUAG